UACGGAGGAUGCGAGCGUUAUCCGGAUUUAUUGGGUUUAAAGGGUGCGUAGGCGUGCUUUUAAGUCAGCGGUAAAAAUUCGGGGCUCAACCCCGUCCGGCCGUUGAAACUGGGGGCCUUGAGUGGGCGAGAAGAAGGCGGAAUGCGUGGUGUAGCGGUGAAAUGCAUAGAUAUCACGCAGAACCCCGAUUGCGAAGGCAGCCUUCCGGCGCCCUACUGACGCUGAGGCACGAAAGUGCGGGGAUCGAACAGG
rnacentral:rRNA from 1 species